UACGGAGGGUGCAAGCGUUAUCCGGAUUCACUGGGUUUAAAGAGUGCGUAGGUGGGUUGGUAAGUCAGUGGUGAAAUCUCCAGGCUUAACUUGGAAACUGCCAUUGAUACUAUCAAUCUUGAAUACCGUGGAGGUCAGCGGAAUAUGUCAUGUAGCGGUGAAAUGCUUAGAUAUGACAUAGAACACCAAUUGCGAAGGCAGCUGGCUACACGAAUAUUGACACUGAUGCACGAAAGCGUGGGGAUCAAACAGG
rnacentral:rRNA from 1 species